CAGCAGUAGCCACGGUAAUACGGAGGGAGCUAGCGUUGUUCGGAAUCACUGGGCGUAAAGCGCACGUAGGCGGCUAUUCAAGUCAGGGGUGAAAGCCCGGGGCUCAACCCCGGAACUGCCUUUGAAACUAGAUAGCUUGAAUCUUGGAGAGGCGAGUGGAAUUCCGAGUGUAGAGGUGAAAUUCGUAGAUAUUCGGAAGAACACCAGUGGCGAAGGCGACUCGCUGGACAAGUAUUGACGCUGAGGUGCGAAAGCGUGGGGAGCAAACAGGAUUAGAUACCCCCGUAGUCCCUGUCUCUUAUAA
rnacentral:rRNA from 1 species